rnacentral:rRNA from 1 species
GACAGAGGGUGCUAGCGUUGUUCGGAAUUACUGGGCGUAAAGGGCGCGUAGGCGGUCUGCUAAGUUCGGUGUGAAAUCCCCUGGCUCAACUGGGGAACUGCGUUGGAAACUGGCAGACUCGAGUACCGGAGAGGAGAGUGGAAUUCCUGGUGUAGCGGUGAAAUGCGUAGAUAUCAGGAGGAACACCGGUGGCGAAGGCGGCUUGCUGGGCCUUACCUGACGCUGAGGAGCGAAAGCGUGGGGAGCGAACAGG